GACCUAGCGCUCCUGCUCGCGCUUCAGCCUGCGGGAGGGAUACCUCCUGGGUAUUCUCGAGAUCCAGCUCUCGGUUCCUGGGAUCUUGGAAUCUGCUCACACGUGGCUUGUACGGCGGAGGUUGUCCGGUCAGCGGGUUGCGGAGGAUCCCGCAGGUAGCAAAGGGAGGGCGAGGGCCCCUGCGACCUCAUACUGCGACUAGAACAUCCAUCAUUGUUAGCCCCGCAGCUAGCUUGGACACCAUUAAAAGGGCUCAUCAGCUUCAAAUGAAUAAAAGUAUCUGAUAUUCAUGAAGACAGAGUUUCAGGGCUUCUACCAGGAGCUACACUCUCUAGAAGCCCCUGCUUGGCCUUCCUGCACCUAACCCCACCCCAACUAGUCACACCUUGGCUGUGUAUGGUGUUUCUUGGCAACUGGAACACAGACUCCUCCAGCAGCUCCACAGAUCCCUUGUCCUCAGUGAGCAGAAGACUACAGAAACUGUCUACUGAAGAGGCUGUCCAUGUGAUUGAGCUCGGCUCUGCUUAACACACUUAACCACAGAGCAGUAACUGAGUGCUGGAUGUUACUCAUUCGUGCUCACCUCCUGCAGGUCACCCACUCCAUGACAUUCAUCCUUUAGUAUCUGCUCUUCGCUAAGGAGAAAACAACACCACCUGUCGUCUGUUAACCCGAGGACAGAAUGCCCAGGUGAGCCUGACUCACAGUACCUGUACUUAGCUAACCUUGACCACGUGCUGCCAAAGCUCCUGCAAGCCCUCCCUCCAAGCACAGCAGCAGCCCAGCUCCGGAGCGGACAGGCAUUCCACCCCACAGAAGUGAUCUGCUGUCACCUACUCUUGGGGGGCAAAAGGGAUUAUGGGGAGAUUAGAAGAAGAUAAAUGGGCCCAUUCCGUCAACCCAUAUUGUUAUCAGACAACUCAUUCUGGUCCACACAACAGCCCCGCCGGUGCACUGACUGAGGGGAGCCACGUGUUUAGUUCCCUGGACUCCCAUGUGACCUCACCCACUGACUUCCCCAGAAGGGGCUCUUGUAACCCCUUCAGGAAGCUGAAGCCAAACAAUAACUGAGAGGUUCUGUUCAGCUCCUCCUCUUCUGGGCAGCUUCACCCAGGAGUAACUUCAGUAACCAGUGGGGUGUGUGCUCGCCACUCAGGUUUUCA